AUCGGGUAGUAGGUAAGCGAUGGGGUGACGCAGGAAGGUAGUCCAGCCCAGGCGAUGGUUGUCCUGGGGUAAGCAUGUAGGGCGGAACGUAGGUAAAUCCGCGUUCUAUUCAGCCUGAGAUGUGAUGCCGAGCCGAUUGUGGUGAAGUGGAUGAUCCUAUGCUGCCGAGAAAAGCCUCUAGUGAGUGUUGUGGCGGCCCGUACCCUAAACCGACUCAGGUGGUCAGGUAGAGAAUACCAAGGCGAUCGGGUGAACUGUGGUUAAGGAACUCGGCAAAUUGCCCCCGUAACUUCGGGAGAAGGGGGACCUCUGCUGGUGAUGGGCUUUACGUUCUGAGCUGGUGGGGGUCGCAGUGGCCAGGGGGAAGCGACUGUUUACUAAAAACACAGGUCCGUGCGAAGUCGUAAGACGAUGUAUACGGACUGACGCCUGCCCGGUGCCGGAACGUUAAGGGGACCGCUUAGCCAACGCGAGUUGGCGAAGGUGAGAACUUAAGCGCCGGUAAACGGCGGUGGUAACUAUAACCAUCCUAAGGUAGCGAAAUUCCUUGUCGGGUAAGUUCCGACCUGCACGAAUGGCGUAACGACUUCCCCGCCGUCUCAACCACAGACCCGGCGAAAUUGCACUACGAGUAAAGAUGCUCGUUUCGCGCAGCAGGACGGAAAGACCCCGGGACCUUCACUACAGCUUGACAUUGGCGUUUGGAACGUCUUGUGUAGGAUAGGUGGGAGACUGGGAAGCUGUCACGCUAGUGAUGGUGGAGUCAUUGGUGAAAUACCACUCUGGUCGUUUUGAACGUCUAACUCUGGUCCGUGAUCCGGAUCGGGGACAGUGUCUGGUGGGUAGUUUAACUGGGGCGGUUGCCUCCUAAAGAGUAACGGAGGCGCCCAAAGGUUCCCUCAGCCUGGUUGGCAAUCAGGUGUUGAGUGUAAGUGCACAAGGGAGCUUGACUGUGAGACUGACAGGUCGAGCAGGAGCGAAAGCUGGGACUAGUGAUCCGGCAUCGGCGUGUGGAAGCGGUGUCGCUCAACGGCUAAAAGGUACCCCGGGGAUAACAGGCUGAUCUUCCCCAAGAGUCCAUAUCGACGGGAUGGUUUGGCACCUCGAUGUCGGCUCGUCGCAUCCUGGGGCUGGAGUAGGUCCCAAGGGUUGGGCUGUUCGCCCAUUAAAGCGGUACGCGAGCUGGGUUUAGAACGUCGCGAGACAGUUCGGUCCCUAUCCGCUGCGCGCGCAGGAGACUUGAAGGGGGCUGUCCCUAGUACGAGAGGACCGGGACGGACGAACCUCUGGUGUGCCAGUUGUACCGCCAGGUGCACGGCUGGUUGGCUACGUUCGGAAGGGAUAACCGCUGAAAGCAUCUAAGCGGGAAGCUCGCCUUGAGAUGAGGUCUCCCACCCCGUGAGGGGGUAAGGCUCCCGGUAGAUCACCGGGUUGAUAGGCCGGAGGUGGAAGCACGGUAACGUGUGGAGCUGACCGGUACUAAUGGGCCGAGGACUUGACC
rnacentral:rRNA from 1 species